rnacentral:lncRNA from 1 species
GGUUUUAAUUAAAAUGUGAUAGUCCAAUUCAAUAAUUCUUUGGAAAGAUUGAAUUUCUCAGUUUAAAUGCUGCAAGGUAUUGUAAAUCAUUCUAUACAAUACCAUGAACUCAUGAACUCAGGCUGAAUCCUCUUAUAUCUUGAACUCGUGAACUUCUGUUAUAUCAUUUCAGAAUUAUCAUUGUUUAUUAUUACUUGCUGAGCAUUGUUGCUCACCCUUGCUAUUCCUUUCUAACCAUUUCAGAAAGGCUAAAAGAUGAGAUGAUUGAUUGAGAUUGUGGAUAAGGCUAAUGCUAGGCGAGGAGACAGAAUUGAGGAUCCAGUGGUCGAGGAGUGUUCAGGAAAGUUGAUGAGGGUGGUGCAAGCUAGAGCUGUGCUAUAGGGAUUCAAGUGAAAGUCAUAGCUGGAAUAGUUAACAGUGAUUCUUCUUAUCGAAGAUGAUCUGACUUGGUAAGAAAAGUUGUGUAAUAUUAGUGGUGGAUUCUAAUUUCAAUACUGUAACCUGGAAGCGAUCCUGUUGUUUUUGGGGGUUAAAUGUUCUCUUAAAAUUUUCUUAUUAUGGUUUUCAAGUUGAAAUUCAAGUUUUAAAAUCAUUUGAU